AUGCUGAGCGAAAAUAAAAGCAUAUCUAUACUGCUACAAUAUAUAAACCGCAUCAAUUUCCAUGGGAAAAUUGGCACUGUUGAUCUGCAAUGCCAAAUUCAAGGGUAAUUUUGUGAAUGUGGGGUGUUUGGAGGCUGUUGCUAGAUCAUGAAGGAAAGGUUGGAGUGAAAGAAAGUGUAUAAAUGAAUAUCAGUUUUGGGAAAACAUUUUGACUUGAGGUGGAAGUGGCAGCAUGAACAAUUGAUGCUGAAUUCACGAUUUCCUGAUGAUGGAAAGCACUUGGAAGACCAUUGUGAUCCUACCUUGCUAGAAAUUCAAGUGGUGGUUGGUGGUGGGCCAAGAAAGAGUCUACUGAGAAGUCAGUGGCGCUGAAAUUCUCUAAGGUACUCAGAUUUAGCUUUGGAAGCUGCUUCAACAUUUGUAUGUUCAUAUCCAUCUCUAUGAAAGGCUGAGAAAGUCUUAGCCUCUGUAAAUAUUCUGUAAACUCGGCCAUGAAGAAUAUUUUCAGGUGGAGUACUUUUUAGAGACUCUUAAUGGAAAAGGUAGGAAUUGAGAGUAACAUCUAUAAGGUACAAACAAAAUGUGUAUUAUUAGAAGAGUUUAAUUAGUAUUAUUGAUUAACAAAUAGUACCUUGAAUAUUUCCUAUAUGAAAAUGUGGGUGUCACUGAAAUUGUGUUAUGCUUUAAA